GAUGAGAACGUAGCGAAAUGCGAUACUUGGUGUGAAUUGCAGAAUCCCGUGAACCAUCGAGUCUUUGAACGCAAGUUGCGCCCGAAGCCAUUAGGCCGAGGGCACGCCUGCCUGGGCGUCACACGUCGUUGCCCCCCCAUCUACUCCUUCGGGAUUGCGAGGGGCGGAUGAUGGCCUCCCGUGCGCCUCGUCGCGCGGUUGGCAUAAAUGCCAAGUCCUCGGCGACGCACGCCACGACAAUCGGUGGUUGCGAAACCUCGGUUGCCCGUCGUGUGCGGUCGUCGCGCAUCGAGGGCUCGAAAAAAUUGCCGGGCUCCGGCUCGGCUUUCAACGCGACCCCAGGUCAGGCGGGGUUACCCGCUGAAUUUAAGCAUAUCAAUAAGCGGAGGA
rnacentral:misc_RNA from 1 species